GCUUUGGAGAGAUGGGUCAAAUCAUAAAAAUGCUCACUUCCUAUUACACAUCCUGUCCCACACUAACUUCGCAGACUGAAUCUCUACCUGUGUAAGUAUAUUAGCUUCUCUUGAUGAAUUUGGGGAGCAAGAAGAACAGAGUGCUGUAUUACUAAAAGUUUUUAUAGAAGCCCGAAGAACCAGUGGGAAGCUACCUGGAUAGCCUUUGAGCCUAAGUUACAGAAGGUCUUUGCUAGAAGAAAAAAGGAUGGCAUGAGCCUAAUGUAGAACAGGAGACAAGUCCCUCAUGUUUCCCACCUGCUGCCUCUGUCAUAUAGCUCCAUACUUCAUCUCUAACAAAGGACCGAUCUAGACCCCUGCCUCCCAGGAUGCUUAACCCCUCUGGGAUUUGGAAGGACAUUGAUAAAUUGGAGGGUAUCAGAGGAAGAAGGGUAAGAAGGAUGAAUAAGAGUCAUGCCAGACGACAAUCUGUUGAAAGAACUGAAGAUGUUAAGCCAAAAGAAGAUGCUUUGAAGAAAUGUCAAGUCAAACAGCUCCUCCCCAUCAUUCUCUGCCAUCACCACCAAGCCAGGAACCAAAAAGGCAGGCUCCCCUUUCCUCCUUCCUGUCCCCUCCCAGAAUGGGGAGGUUCUUCAAGCUGGUUGGUUGAUUGGGUCGGAAGUUCAAAGCUUUUUUUAGA